rnacentral:rRNA from 1 species
CGUCUCCGUUAAUGAUUUUAGGUGCUUGCACUUGAAAGAUUUAGCAUUGAGACGAGUGGCGAACUGGUGAGUAACACGUGGGUAACCUGCCCUUGAAGUAGGGGAUAACACUUGGAAACAGGUGCUAAUACCGUAUAACAACCAAAACCACCUGGUUUUGGUUUAAAAGACGGCUUCGGCUGUCACUUUAGGAUGGACCCGCGGCGCAUUAGCUUGUUGGUAAGGUAACGGCUUACCAAGGCGAUGAUACGUAGCCGACCUGAGAGGGUAAUCGGCCACAUUGGGACUGAGACACGGCCCAAACUCCUACGGGAGGCAGCAGUAGGGAAUCUUCCACAAUGGACGAAAGUCUGAUGGAGCAACGCCGCGUGAGUGAUGAAGGGUUUCGGCUCGUAAAACUCUGUUGUUGGAGAAGAACAGGUGUCAGAGUAACUGUUGACAUCUUGACGGUAUCCAACCAGAAAGCCACGGCUAACUACGUGCCAGCAGCCGCGGUAAUACGUAGGUGGCAAGCGUUGUCCGGAUUUAUUGGGCGUAAAGCGAGCGCAGGCGGUUUUUUAGGUCUGAUGUGAAAGCCUUCGGCUUAACCGGAGAAGUGCAUCGGAAACCGGGAGACUUGAGUGCAGAAGAGGACAGUGGAACUCCAUGUGUAGCGGUGAAAUGCGUAGAUAUAUGGAAGAACACCAGUGGCGAAGGCGGCUGUCUGGUCUGUAACUGACGCUGAGGCUCGAAAGCAUGGGUAGCGAACAGGAUUAGAUACCCUGGUAGUCCAUGCCGUAAACGAUGAGUGCUAAGUGUUGGAGGGUUUCCGC